AACUCAUAGAGCUCUGGCAAUGUCUUAGAAACUGGAAAUUGCCGCUUAUGGAAUGAACUGGAUUCAUCCUCAAGGAAGAGCGGAUGAAACCAUUCAAAAAGGGAAUAGUACAGUCCAAAACGCAGGUUCUGGCUCUGUCACCCAGGCUGGAGUUCAGUGGUGCGAACUUCGCUCACUGCAUCCUCGACCUCCUGGGCUCAAGUGAUGCUCCCACCUCAGCCUACCAAGUAGCUAGGACUACAGGUGUGUACUCCACCACGCCCAGCUAAUUUUGUCUAUUUUUUCAGAGACAGGGUCUCACUUUGCUGCCUAGGCCAGUCUCAAACUCCUGGCCUCAAGCAAUCCUCCUUCCUUGGCCUCCCAAAGUGUUGGAAUUAUAGAUGUGAGCCACUGCACCUAGCCUUAGAUUCAUUUUAAUAAGCUUUUUAAAACAGCUCACUCUUGUUCCUAUCAUUUCUGUGGUAAGCUUCAGAGCAGUGUUGAUAUCUAAAGUCAUACUCAAAGUUACUCAACUUGACAGGCCCUAAUGUCAGACAGUACUAAAACCACUUGAGUCUUCAUUUGAAUAUCACCACCAUAAGCUUACACUGCGACGUUCCUUCCUGAGCUUAGUAUGCAUUUUCCAUGAGCAAUGAAAACAUCUGACAACAUGGGUCCCAGAAAAUGUAUACAUGUGGGCUACAUCAUCUCUCCUCACAGUUUGAUUAACAAUUUUUAUUAAAUAAACUCACUAUGUAAUGUUUUGUGCCAUACAGCUUGGGAAAGUUCCUAGACAUCAGGAAAUCAGCAUGUUCUCAAGCAAAUACACUUGAUAGACAUUCAUCUCAGCAGGAUAAAUAUCUACAGGAGAAAAUCAUGAAGCUACCAGAAUGUGGCCAAAGGGAAA
ensembl:lncRNA novel transcript